rnacentral:rRNA from 1 species
AUUGAACGCUGGCGGCGUGCUUAACACACGCAAGUCGAUCGGUAACAGGUGUAGCAAUACAUGCUGACGAGAGGCGGACGGGUGAGUAAUGCUUGGGAAUCUGCCUAUUAGUGGGGGACAACCCGGGGAAACUCGGGCUAAUACCGCAUACGCUCUACGGAGGAAAGCCGGGACCGCAAGGCCUGGCGCUAAUAGAUGAGCCCAAGUCGGAUUAGCUAGUUGGUAGGGUAACGGCCUACCAAGGCGACAAUCCGUAGCUGGUCUGAGAGGACGACCAGCCACACCGGAACUGAGACACGGUCCGGACUCCUACGGGAGGCAGCAGUGGGGAAUAUUGGACAAUGGGGGCAACCCUGAUCCAGCGACGCCGCGUGGGUGAAGAAGGCCUGCGGGUUGUAAAGCCCUUUCGGUGGGGAAGAAAAGUCUCGACCUAAUACGUCGGGACCUUGACGUAACCCACUAAAGAAGCACCGGCUAACUCUGUGCCAG